CCCCUAGACACCCAGGAACAUUUGGCGUUGCUUGACAACAGUUUGAGGCAGGAUAAAGAGCUCCAGCAACGAUUUCUUCGGUUUUUGGCAAUCAAAUGUGGGAGGGACCUAAAGACAACCGUGUGGCUGAAUGCUUCAGAGUAUCUUCUCUAAUCACCUUUCCAUCAAUACAACCUGGACUGGUGUAGGGGAUAAAGCAUGUUUUAGAGACAUGUUCCUGAAGACCAUUGUUCAAAGAGCCAUCCGGAAGAACCCGGCAACACAGGAUGCCACUGAUGAGUGAUCCAGGUUAACGUUACGCGUUACCUGAAAGGAGCAUCUGAACAUGAAGGUGGAAAAAGGCGCCGCACAGCUGAGAGGGACCCACAGCCGACCCCUUAAACCUAGGCUGACUACUGACACCCCAGCAUCACUGGAACCCUUUCUUUAUCCUGCAGUCAGUAACAUCAAGACCCCUAAAAAAGCCUGCUAAAAGUGUCAGACUACACUCACCCAAUCCACACUGUUCACUGUGGAAAUUGCUCUUUUUUUUUUUUUUUUCUCGUGACCCUGCUUUGAGGGCAGCUCCUUGGAUGAAUAUGGGAUGGUUUGUCCUUUUAUACAGGCGCAUGAGGAAUCACUGAAGAUAUGCCAAUUUGCACUGCCUCAUUCUGGAGGUCGGGAAAACCGGUGAUUCUUAGCCCAGAAGUCCCCAACCUCUCCAGACAUUCUGAUUGGCUGUGUUCUCUACAGCCAGAUUUUCUGCUGUUAAUUAUAUUUAUUCCCACUUGUUGUCAUGUGUAAGUUGAAUGUCAAAAUGUAUAUUAUACCUGUUAUCCUGCAAAUUCCUUGAUACCAAAGAUCUCAAUUAUUUCAUAUACAAUUUGCUGCUUAUUUCGUUGUUACAGUGCUUAACUAUUCUAUUUUUAAAUAUAGCUUGUAAAUCCUAGAUUAUACAUCUAAUACUUGAUAUUUGCACAUUAUCUGGUAUCAAAUAUUCUACUUACCGUGACUUUAGUAUUGGCUUAUUUCAUUCCGUCAGUGCUUAACGAUUCUAUUAUAGUUUGUAAAUCCUAUUUCAUACCUCUGAUACUUGAUAUUGUACAUUAACUAGUACCAAAAAUUCUACUUUCAUUCCAUCACAGUGCUUAACUGUUAUUCUAUUGUUACAUAUAGCUUGUAAAUCCUUGUGAAACAAGUCAGCAUUGCAGUUAUAAUGGUAUAUUCUACUCCAGAGCUUUACUCUAAAUUAUUACCACUUAACCUAUUGUUAGAAAUGACUUGUAAAUAUGAUGUUAUACCUCAAUAUAUUUGGUAUCCUGCACUUUCUUUGGUACCAAAUAUCCUCAUUGCUUGUGUUUACUGGUAAUUCUUUUCAUCCCAGAGCUGACCUCUUUAUAUUAUUAACAAUUAUUGUAAGUGUUACAAUAGUGUUUUUUUAAAAAAAAAAGAAAUUGGAAACCUGCAUGUUCUUUAGUGUGUGUGUGUGUGUGUGUGUAUAUAAUGUUUGUAUUUUUCUGUUAUUUAUAUUUCAGUGAUCUGACAUCUUGUUUCAAUGACAUUUACUGUACUUUGAAAUGUGGAAUUAAAAC